AACGAACGCUGGCGGCAGGCCUAAUACAUGCAAGUCGAGCGGAUGUAGCAAUACAUCAGCGGCGCACGGGAGAAUAACACGUGGGAACCUACCUUUUGGUUCGGAAUAACACCGGGAAACUGGUGCUAAUACCGGAUAAGCCCUUCGGGGGAAAGAUUUAUCGCCGAAAGAUGGGCCCGCGUUGGGUUAGCUAGUUGGUGGGGUAACGGCCUACCAAGGCAACGAUCCAUAGCUGGUCUGAGAGGAUGAUCAGCCUCACUGGGACUGAGACACGGCCCAGACUCCUACGGGAGGCAGCAGUAGGGAAUAUUGGACAAUGGGGGCAACCCUGAUCCAGCCAUGCCGCGUGAAUGAUGAAGGCCUUCGGGUUGUAAAGUUCUUUUGGUGGGGACGAUGAUGACGGUACCCACAGAAUAAGCUCCGGCUAACUUCGUGCCAGCCGCCGCCGUAACAC
rnacentral:rRNA from 1 species